AUUAGUGAAGUAGGUCAUGAGAAUUUUGUGUGCUGCCGUGAUAUAUGGAUGAAAACCUAUGUGUUGUUUGAAUUGUUUGUGUUGAUUGUGAUAGAUGGCUAGGCUAGUAAAUUAAGGUAUUUGUUGUUUGAUUUACUUUUAUACUUCAAUGUUUUCUCUUCAAAAUUUUAAUUACAAUACUCCUAUAAAUGAUAUCUCAAUGAAUAUUCAUAUAAAUGAAUAUGAAUGUGUAGAUUAACUUUCAUGUAUGUAGUAUAAUAUAUUCUCAGUUGUGCGAUAGAGAGAUAUCACAAUAUUUUGGUUUCAUUGAGCCACCAUGGUCAUCGAGACUUGGGGCAAAUAUGGAUAAUCGGACUGAAAUUAUCUCAGAGCGUAUCAAUAACACAGUGAUGGGUCAAACUUGGUUAAUGCCAUACCAUUUCUUACGUCACUGGAUGUUAGUGAUCAUUGAUCCAGAUGACCAUACAUGUUACUAUCUUGAUCCACUUAGAAAAUCUCCUCCAAAUGAUUUGAAGAACCUUAUGAACAGUCUCUUCACACAUUAAGCGAAAGACAGGAAGGAAUGAAAAAAAUUUCAAGUGGAAAAUAGUCAAUUGCCCUCGCCAAACAUCGUCAGUAGAGUACGGCUUUUAUAUCAUAAGGAUGAUGAAGGACUAUUGCUUGAAUGAGACACUCAUGCAAUGGCUAACUAGUAAUUGUGGUGGGAAGAAUACAUAUACACAUGGCGAAAUUAAUGAAACUCGAAAUGAAUGGGCAGCCAAGCUUCUUGAGUGGAUGCGUCAUAGCUAGAGUAACUUUUGAAAUCAGAAUUAAAAAAUAUACUAAUUGUAGUUUUUAGUUAGCACUUACAUAGUUAUUGCAAGUGUAUAUUUUGAUCGUAUAAUUUUUAGAUUUGGAACAUACUGAGUUCUAUUGAUUUUGUUUGCCUGUUGAUUCUGUCUGAACUAUGUUGUAAUUACACAAAAAAUUAUGA